GAGGAUGGCUCAGUGGUUAAGAGCACCGGCUGCUCGACCUGGGGACCCGGGGUUCAAUUCCCAGCACCCUCA
rnacentral:tRNA from 1 species